AUGAAGGCUCUGGUCUGUGUUCUUGUCCUGAUGCUCGUGUGCAGCACUACUGUGCACUCCCUCCAGUGCUUCACCUGUGAGGGCGACGACUGCAAGGUCAGAACCGAAUGCCCCCCAUCUGCCAACUUCUGCAGGACCGAGGCCACCGCACAACUUUUGUCCCGCACAUGUGAGGAAUCCUGCACACCUGGGGAGAACGUCCACUGCUGCGAUCAAGACUUGUGCGGCUGAACGUCGCUGAACGUCGCUCUGUCCAGUCUACAAAUGGCCUUGUUAUGCAUGAAGAAUCAUUUUGCUCAGCAAAUUUAAAAUGUAAACACGAAUCGGUAUAUAGAGAAAAUGUAAUAAGUAUGGGCACUUACAAAAUUAAAAAAAAAAAAUCUCAAUAAAUAUUUGUCUGCAUGAAUGAUUUUCA
ensembl:lncRNA